GAGACACAAGAGGAGGAAGAAGAGGUCACUCAGGUCACAGCUGGCGGGUUGUACAGACACUCGCAUACUCAUUCACUCACUCCCCUCUCCUAUCCCUGAAGUCAUGACAGAAGAACAGAGUCUCUUCCAGAGGAUGAAGUUCCUCAUAUAUGCAGGCGGCAUCUUCUUCCUCUACUUCUACUACGGUGUUCUGCAGGAAUCCAUAACUCGCACACGAUAUGGAGAAGAGAAAGAGAAAUUCACGUAUUCACUAGCGCUUGUGUUCUUCCAGUGUAUAGUUAAUGCGAUCUAUGCCAAAUUAAUGGGGAUGUUUGUACUGAAGCAGGGUGAGGACACAACCCGGCCACUGUACUAUGCCUCCUGCUCCCUCACCUACCUGCUAGCCAUGGUGUCAUCCAACAUGGCCCUGCAGUGGGUCAACUACCCCACACAGGUGGUGGGCAAGUCGUGCAAGCCAAUCCCUGUGAUGGUGUUGGGUGUUGUUCUCGGUCGGAAAUCCUAUGCCUGGAAGAAGUAUGUCUUUGUACUGAUGAUUGUUAUAGGCGUGGCACUGUUCAUCUACAAGGACUCAAAGGCUCAGAGUGCGUCAUCAGGGGAGGGCCUGGGGCUUGGUGAAGUGCUUCUGAUGCUCUCCCUCACCAUGGACGGCCUGACAGGGGCGGUGCAGGAGCGGAUGAUUGCUGAGUCUAAGACCAAGUCGGGCCACAUGAUGCUCAACAUGAAUCUCUUUUCCAUCGGCUACCUUUCCAUUGCGCUCCUGGUCACUGGGGAAAUAUUCUCCUUCAUUGGAUUUGUUCAGCGAUUCCCUGAAGUGAUCAGCAAGAUGAUUACAUUCAGCAUCUGCAGUGCACUGGGCCAGUUCUUCAUCUUCCUGAUGGUGAGUGACUUUGGGCCAUUGCCGUGCUCUGUUGUCACCACCACACGCAAGUUCUUCACCGUCCUGGGCUCAGUCAUUCUCUUUGGCAACAAGCUCUCGCCCCGGCAGUGGAGUGGCACCUUCCUAGUGUUCUCAGGCCUCACUUUGGAUGCAGUGUUUGGCAAAUCUCCCAAGAAGGCAGUGGAGGAGGACAAGGAGAGUAAAGAAUGAAGAAACAACAGUGUCAAGAUUUGCUAAGAUGUGCGAGGAGAAGGCAGAGAUGAAGGUGAGCAAAUGAUCUGGUGCAGUGUUAGUGCCUGUGAGGUAGUUGUGUUUCCCAGAAGUUAGAGAAAAUUUGAACUUACUUAGAAGAAUAGUGUAUGAUGUUGAGUAUCUGAUAAGUAAAGCUGCUGUACUUGAGUCUGACAUGUACAGUUAAUUAAUCACUCACUUUGUGCUGUACCUUUUCCUCAAUCUUAUGUUGUGUGACUUAAGGCUCUAUCAAGUAUUUUGUUAGACUUGACAGAUCAAAUGGGAAACUGAUAAGGUAAUUUGAUGUGUAACAUAUCACUGUCACAUUGUAUUUUGGCCUCAGUUAUAUGUGCUCUGAUCUAAGAAGCUAUCAAGUGUUUUAUGAGGAGACUCAGCAGAUCAGGUGUGCUUAAGAUCAGGGGAAAAUUAGCAUAGUGAGGAAGUGAAAAUUAUUUAUUGUGUUUUGCCCUUUCCUCUCCCCUAAGUCAUGUCAUCUAUGAAUCCAUCAAGAGUCGUUUUGUGUGAGAAAACUCGACAGAUCAAUGGAAAAAUUUUGUCCUGUGAGGGAGUGAAGGUUACUUGACUUUUAAUAAAUCACUCCUACUGUGUUUUGUGUCUUCAAUCUUAUGUGGUGUGACAAGAACCCAUCAAGACUUGAAAGAAGAUUUGGGAGAUUAGAAAUAUUUAAGGCUAAUGGACAGUGAGACAGUGAUGAUUUCUUAACUUCCAAUAUAUCACUCCUAUUGUGUUUUGCCUUCAAUCUUAUGUGGUGUGAUGUAAGAACCCAUCAAGAGUCAUGAUUUGUUGGAACAUAAGAUUACUGGAAGACUUCAGCACAGUGAGUGAAGGUUACUUGGUCAUGACUUGAGUGAAAACAGUAGGGUGGUGUAGGAGGUAGUGUCCUGUGGCGUAGUUCAGCUCAGUGCAGCCAUGUGGUGUUUGAAAGACUUGGCUUAAAUGAGAAAGACAAAGAGUUUAUAUUUUUAUGUCAAAGAUGAAGUAAAUAUUCCUGAAUUAU
rnacentral:misc_RNA from 1 species